UACGUAGGGGGCAAGCGUUGUCCGGAAUUAUUGGGCGUAAAGCGCGCGCAGGCGGUGCAUAAAGUCUGGUGUUUAAUUCCAAGGCUCAACCUUGGAUCGCAUUGGAAACUGGUGCGCUGGAGUGCAGAAGAGGAGAGUGGAAUUCCACGUGUAGCGGUGAAAUGCGUAGAUAUCGGGAGGAACACCAGUGGCGAAGGCGGCCACCUGGACGGCCACUGACGCUGAGGCUCGAAAGCUGGGGGAGCAAACAGG
rnacentral:rRNA from 1 species